rnacentral:rRNA from 1 species
AGAGUUUGAUCAUGGCUCAGGAUGAACGCUAGCGGCAGGCUUAACACAUGCAAGUCGAGGGGCAGCGGGAUGUAGCAAUACAUUGCCGGACGACCGGACGGAUGGGUGCGUAACGCGUAUGCAACCUACCUUAUACAGGGGAAUAACCUUUCGAAAGGGAGACUAACACCCCAUAGUAUUGAUUUAAGGCAUCUUAGAUUAAUUAAAUAUUUAUAGGUAUAAGAUGGGCAUGCGUAUGAUUAGCUAGUUGGUAAGGUAACGGCUUUACCAAGGCGACGAUCAUUAGGGGUUCUGAGAGGAAGGUCCCCCACACUGGUACUGAGACACGGACCAGACUCCUACGGGAGGCAGCAGUGAGGAAUAUUGGUCAAUGGGCGCAAGCCUGAACCAGCCAUGCCGCGUUGCAGGAAGACGGCCUUAUGGGUUGUAAACUGCUUUUACAUAAGACUAACCGUAUAUUUGCGAAUAUACCUGAAUGUAUUAUGAGAAUAAGGAUCGGCUAACUCCGUGCCAGCCGCCGC